AACACAACCCCAGGGACUCACGGCAUUUGAUGUGGCCCCCAGCGGCCCGCAGCUCCAGCCACGUUUGGGCGGGAUCCGGCUGUUCGCGGGUCGGGCCGCCCAACCUGCCAAUCCGCAGCUGCCGCCUGCCCCCAGGCAGGCCCGAUUACUGGUUUUGCACCUGGAAGGGGCCCCAACCCGGCUUUGGUGAGACUCUAUCUCCCAGGUGGUGCAGGAGUGGCUGCGGUGUCUGGGGCAAGGGGAAACCCCAGAAGGAAGGCACCCACUGCCUCUCGUGUUUUCGCUUUGCCUCCUGCCUGCCAACCAAAGGUGAAAGGGGAAGAUUUUGGAGUCCGAAUGCCGGGAGCCCUUGGUUGCCACUAGUUUCUUAGGCAGCUCUUCUGCUCUGCCUGCUGCUGAGCACACAAGUCCAAGGGCACACUGACCUUCAGGAGAGCAAGGAAGCAUGAAUCCUACAAAAAGGAGUAUAGGGAGAAGAGCAGAUGGCAGACUGGGGCCUGGGGGCCUCCUGCUACAGAAUUUACCUAAUCCACCCAGAUUUCAUAUAAUAAAAAUUGCUGCUGUUUGAAUGUUCA